GGAGUAGGCCGAGCAAAUGGAAGCUUCUAACUUCUUAUUUAAGCGGUUAAACUCCGUUUCUACUCCU
rnacentral:tRNA from 1 species